GGGAUAUGAUGAGUGGUCUCUACUCUUUUGUGAGAGGGGUGUCCGCCCCCAAAGCCUGUUACGACAGUGGGCACUCUCAUUUGAACCAUCUGAUCCC